rnacentral:tRNA from 1 species
GCGGGCGUGGCGGAAUGGCAGACGCGCCAGAUUUAGGAUCUGGUGCCGCAAGGCGUAAGAGUUCGAGUCUCUUCGUCCGCACCA